GUCCGGGCAGGCCCCUGCCAGGACUCCUUGCUUCCCCAUUUAUGAGCAUUCGAGACCCGCACCGUUCUCAGGUGCCCUCCAACCCCACUUGCGGCCUCACCUUUGGUCCCUCUCCUGCAGCACAUCUGAGCCACACCAGGUGUGGGAGGAAGUCAGGCCCAUCGGCCCAGGCAGGCUGACGGCGGAGGAGGCCCUCGGCCCGGCCACAGGCCUGCCGCCUGCACCCCCAGGACAUAGGAACCAUCUGCUGCACCAGCUCCUUUGGCCCCCUGACAAGGCCACAACGCGAGCCGUUGCUGCACCAAUGAGGGCUGGACGCCCCUGGAGCCUGGCCCCUGCCCCGCUGCCUGUGGCUUGAAUGACAAGGCGUCAGAUUCGGAUGAGGGAACAGGAAGGGGACUUUCACGAGGAUGACACACAGCAGCAAACGCUGAAGCAGCCCUCUGCCCCCCAGCUGGGCCACCCCACCGCCUCACGGGAGCCUUCUUCCAGCUCUGGAGGGACAGGGAGGGUAGAUAGCAUCUUCCUAGCUCAUGCAGAGGGGAAACUGAGGCGCAGAGCCUUAGUGGCCAAUCAGGGACAGGGACGGGUCCUCAGUCCCAGGACAGGUAUGCACCCUGGAGCAGGUGAACGUGAGUGGUCGCUGUAUGGAUGUGGGCCCCAGUGCCACGCGGGGAUACCGAUGGGAAGUGAGAGGAUCACUGGAGGGCUCAGCUAGGAGCCCCCUCACUGCUCUGGUGUGGGGACACCCGUAUGUAUGUGUGUGUGUCUGCUGUGACAUUUGCCCCACUCCCGGGCACCCUUCUCAGAGCUUUUACU